UAUAGUAUAUCAGUAUAUAUGACUUCCAAUCAUAAGGAUUACAAAUUAAUAGUAAUAUA
rnacentral:tRNA from 1 species